rnacentral:rRNA from 1 species
AUUGAACGCUGGCGGCAGGCCUAACACAUGCAAGUCGAGCGGUAACAGGAAUUAGCUUGCUAAUUCGCUGACGAGCGGCGGACGGGUGAGUAAUGCCUGGGAAUAUGCCUUAGUGUGGGGGAUAACUAUUGGAAACGAUAGCUAAUACCGGAUAUUAUGAGACCUUGGCAUCAAGGACUUAUGAAAGCUAUAUGCGCUGGAGGAGAACUUUGCGUUCCAUUAGCUAGUUGGUAGGGUAAUGGCCUACCAAGGCGACGAUGGAUAGCCGGCCUGAGAGGGUGAACGGCCACAAGGGGACUGAGACACGGCCCUU